AAGUCGUAACAAGGUCUCCGUAGGUGAACCUGCAGAAGGAUCAUUAGUGAAGAUUUGGGCAGGCCAUACGGACGCCAAAAAGUGUCCCUGGCCGCCUACACCCACUAUACAUCCACAAACCCGUGUGCACUGUCUUGGAGAAAGGCUUCAGAGAAGUUUUUUGUGGCCUCUCUUGGGGUCUUUCUUCGCUACAAACUCGAAUGGUUAGUAUGAACGUGGAACUUGGUUGGACCGUCACUGGCCAACAAACUAUACACAACUUUCGACAACGGAUCUCUUGGUUCUCC
rnacentral:misc_RNA from 1 species